rnacentral:misc_RNA from 1 species
GUAUAGUAGUGCGUGUGCACAACAAUAAUUUCAUUACAUUCGAGUGGGUGUAAAAAAUCCUCUGCCAGCCAAAGCUAGCAAGAGGCCAAAGGUUCACAGGGGUAUUGGAUGAAAAGCCGCCAACGUGCACUUGCCAGAGCUGGCCAGCACUGAAGACAACGAUUCGCAAUCAUUAAUGAUCCUUCCGCAGGUUCACCUACGGAAA